rnacentral:rRNA from 1 species
AUCAUGGCUCAGGAUGAACGCUAGCUACAGGCUUAACACAUGCAAGUCGAGGGGAAACGACAUCGAAAGCUUGCUUUUGAUGGGCGUCGACCGGCGCACGGGUGAGUAACGCGUAUCCAACCUGCCCACCACUUGGGGAUAACCUUGCGAAAGUAAGACUAAUACCCGAUGAUAUCUCUAGAAGACAUCUGAAAAGGGGAUUAAAGAUUCAUCGGUGAUGGAUGGGGAUGCGUCUGAUUAGCUUGUUGGCGGGGUAACGGCCCACCAAGGCAACGAUCAGUAGGGGUUCUGAGAGGAAGGUCCCCCACAUUGGAACUGAGACACGGUCCAAACUCCUACGGGAGGCAGCAGUGAGGAAUAUUGGUCAAUGGGCGAGAGCCUGAACCAGCCAAGUAGCGUGCAGGACGACGGCCCUAUGGGUUGUAAACUGCUUUUAUAAGGGAAUAAAGUGAGUCUCGUGAGACUUUUUGCAUGUACCUUAUGAAUAAGGACCGGCUAAUUCCGUG